GAUGAACGCUGACAGAAUGCUUAACACAUGCAAGUCGAUGGGGAAGUGGUGCUUGCACCAUGGUAACCAUGGCGGACGGGUGAGUAACGCGUAAGGAACUUGCCUGCGGGACUGGGAUAACAGCAGGAAACUGCUGAUAAUACCGGAUAAGGUCAUUAAGCUGCAUAGCUUAGUGAUGAAAGGAGACGCCUGCGGAGAGCCUUGCGUCCUAUUAGCUAGUUGGAGGGGUAACGGCCCACCAAGGCGAAGAUAGGUAGCCGGCCUGAGAGGGUGGACGGCCACAAGGGGACUGAGAUACGGCCCUUACUCCUACGGGAGGCAGCAGUGGGGAAUAUUGGACAAUGGGGGCAACCCUGAUCCAGCAAUUCGGUGUGCACGAAGACGGUUUUCGGAUUGUAAAGUGCUUUCAGCAGGGAAGAAGGAAGUGACGGUACCUGCAGAAGAAGCGACGGCUAAAUGCGUG
rnacentral:rRNA from 1 species